UUAGGCCGACUCGCAACACAGGUUAGAGGAAGAUUAGGCCGACUCUCAACACAGGUUAGAGGAAGAUUAGGCCGACUCGCAACACAGGUUAGAGGAAGAUUAGGCCGACUCUCAACACAGAUUAGAGGAAGAUUAGGCCGACUCGCAACACAGGUUAGAGGAAGAUUAGGCCGACUCUCAACACAGGUUAGAGGAAGAUUAGGCCGACUCGCAACACAGGUUAGAGGAAGAUUAGGCCGACUCUCAACACAGGUUAGAGGAAGAUUAGGCCGACUCGCAACACAGAUUAGAGGAAGAUUAGGCCGACUCGCAACACAGAUUAGAGGAAGAUUAGGCCGACUCGCAACACAGAUUAGAGGAAGAUUAGGCCGACUCGCAACACAGAUUAGAGGAAGAUUAGGCCGACUCGCAACACAGAUUAGAGGAAGUCCAUUUAUGUCGUGUUAAAAAUGUGUAGGAAACAUGACUUGUUCCUCUUUCAAUCUGACCUUUCUGAAUUUGGGACUUGUAGUGUGGUCUUCAAACAUGCUCUUAGUAGUAUCACCCACUCCAGCCUCCCUAGAACCUCUUAUCACUGGGUUUACUGAACAAAAGGUGAUCCAGGUGUUUUUUUGGCACUAGGUAGCUAGCUAGUAAACGUAACAACACACA